GAUGAAGAACGUAGCGAAAUGCGAUACGUAAUGUGAAUUGCAGAAUUCAGUGAAUCAUCGAGUCUUUGAACGCACAUUGCGCCCCCUGGUAUUCCGGGGGGCAUGCCUGUCCGAGCGUCAUUGCUGCCCUCAAGCACGGCUUGUGUGUUGGGCCUCCGUCCUCCUCCCGGGGGACGGGCCCGAAAGGCAGCGGCGGCACCGCGUCCGUCCUCGAGCGUAUGGGGCUUCGUCACCCGCUCUUGUAGGCCCGGCCGGCGCUUGCCGACACAUCAAUCUUUUUUCCAGGUUGACCUCGGAUCAGGUAGGGAUACCCGCUGAACUUAAGCAUAUCAAUAAGCGGAGGA
rnacentral:misc_RNA from 1 species